CCCCAGGUACCAAGGCUGUCCCCUCUCAGAUUGUCUUUCAUCAACUUUGUAUAUGUCUUGUAUAUAGCUAGUUAUUUCCCUUUUUUAACACUUUAGUAAUGCUUUAUUUUCCCCAUUACAAAAAUAAUUUUUUUAUAUUUGUUUCCUUAUCUUUUGAGUUCUGAAUCCCCUCCCUUCCUUUUUUUCCCUUAUCCCCUCCUUGCGACAGUAAGCAAUUUGAUAUAGGUUAUAUAAAUGCAAUCAUAUAAAACAUCAUUCCUCAUGAAUAAGACACUUUUUUUAAAAAUCCAUGAAGAAAAUAAAGUGGAAAAUGGUGUGUUUCAAAGGUAGCUAGAUGACUACUAGUGGAUUGGGAGCCAGGCCUAGAGACAGGAAGGAGGUCCUGGGUUCAAAUCUGUCCUCAGACACUUCUAGCAAUGUGACCCUGGGUGAGUCCCUUAACCCCCAUUGCCUAGUCCUUGCCACUCUUCUGCCUUGGAACCAAUACACAGUGUUGAUUCUAAGAUGAAAGGUAAGGGGAGGUUGUUUUUAUUUUUAUUUUUUAAUGGUUUGCUUCCAUCUGCAUUCAGACUCCACCAUUCUUUCUCUAGUGGUCAAUAGUUUUUUUCAUCAUGGGUCCCGUUGUGUUGCUGAGAAUAGCUAAGUCAUUCAGAGUCGUUCAUCAUACAAUAUUGCUAUUACUGUGUAUGAUGUUCUCCUGGUUCUGCUCACUUCUCUGUGCAUUCAUUUCUCUGUCUUUUCAGGUUUUUUGGAGCUCUUCCUGAUCAUCAUCUCUUAUAGCAUAAUAGUAUUCCAUUCCAAUCCUAGAGAAACAUAUACUUGUUCAGCCACACACCUAAGUGUUUACAUGCUGUCUCCCCAGUGGAAUGUAGGCUCCUCAAGGGCAGGAGAUCUUUUUGCCUUUCUUUGUGACAUCAUCCCCCUACCCAAGCCAGGACACUUGGCCCAGUGCCUGGCCUGGAGGGAAUGUUUAAUAGAUGUUUCCUGACUCAUUUAUUCCCUGCUGGAGCCUUCAUGAAAGAGGAGAGAAGAAUGAAAACAGCUUUAGGUGAUCAAAUGUUGACUUGGGAAUCAGGAGAUCUGGAUUCUAGUUCUGCCUUCACCACAUAUUUACUAUGUAACCUUCAACAUAUGACUUCCCUUCUCUGGGCCUCAACUUUCUUCCCUAUAAAAUAAUGGAUUACACUAAAUUCAACAAGCAUUUAUUAAGUGUUUUAUGCACAGUGCUGGGUAAGGGUGACAGGUUAUGGGAUUGGAAAGGUAAAUCUAUUUGAAGGGAGUGUGUGGAUUAAAGAAAUUGAAUCUAUGCAAUAAUAACCAGCCAUGAUCCCAGAGGACCCAAAAUGGAACAUGAAUGCCAGGGCAGCUAAGUGGAUCAAUGUAUAGAGAGGCAACCCUUUAGUUGGAAGGUCCUAGAUUCAAAUUUGACCUCAGACUCUUUCUAGCUGUGUGACCCUGGGCAAGUUACUUGACCCCAGUUGCCUAGCCCUUACAACACUCUUCAGCCUUGGAAUAAAAACAUAGUACUGA
rnacentral:lncRNA from 1 species